rnacentral:rRNA from 1 species
UACGUAGGCAGCAAGCGUUGUUCGGAGUUACUGGGCGUAAAGGGCGCGUAGGUGGCCUGUGGAAGUCUGCGGUGAAAGCCCGGCGCUCAACGCCGGGUCGGCCGUGGAUACUCUCGGGCUCGAGCUUACUAGAGGCAGAUGGAAUUCCGGGUGUAGCGGUGGAAUGCGUAGAGAUCCGGAAGAACACCGGUGGCGAAGGCGGCCCGCUGGGCAGAGACUGACGCUGAGGCGCGACAGCGUGGGGAGCAAACAGG